rnacentral:rRNA from 1 species
GGCUUAGAGUUUGAUCAUGGCUCAGGAUGAACGCUGGCGGCGUGCCUAACACAUGCAAGUCGAGCGAAGCACUUUACUUUGAGAUCUUCGGAAGGAUAAGUUUAGUGACUGAGCGGCGGACGGGUGAGUAACGCGUGGGUAACCUGCCUCAUACAAGGGGAUAACAGUUAGAAAUGACUGCUAAUACCGCAUAAGACCACAGCACCGCAUGGUGCAGGGGUAAAAACUCCGGUGGUAUGAGAUGGACCCGCGUCUGAUUAGCUAGUUGGUAAGGUAACGGCUUACCAAGGCAACGAUCAGUAGCCGACCUGAGAGGGUGACCGGCCACAUUGGGACUGAGACACGGCCCAAACUCCUACGGGAGGCAGCAGUGGGGAAUAUUGCACAAUGGGGGAAACCCUGAUGCAGCGACGCCGCGUGAGCGAAGAAGUAUUUCGGUAUGUAAAGCUCUAUCAGCAGGGAAGAAACUGACGGUACCUGACUAAGAAGCACCGGCUAAAUACGUGCCAGCAGCCGCGGUAAUACGUAUGGUGCAAGCGUUAUCCGGAUUUACUGGGUGUAAAGGGAGCGUAGACGGAUAGGCAAGUCUGGAGUGAAAGCCCGGGGCUCAACCCCGGGACUGCUUUGGAAACUGUUUUAUCUAGAGUGCUGGAGAGGUAAGUG